rnacentral:rRNA from 1 species
CUACGGGGGGCUGCAGUGGGGAAUAUUGCACAAUGGGGGGAACCCUGAUGCAGCAACGCUGCGUGGAGGAUGACACAUUUCGGUGCGUAAACUCCUUUUAUAUAAGAAGAUAAUGACGGUAUUAUAUGAAUAAGCACCGGCUAACUCCGUGCCAGCAGCCGCGGUAAUACGGGGGGUGCAAGCGUUACUCGGAAUCACUGGGCGUAAAGAGCAUGUAGGCUGGUUUGUAAGUUGGAAGUGAAAUCCUAUGGCUUAACCAUAGAACUGCUUCCAAAACUACUUACCUAGAGUAUGGGAGAGGUAGAUGGAAUUUCUGGUGUAGGGGUAAAAUCCGUAGAGAUCAGAAGGAAUACCGAUUGCGAAGGCGAUCUACUGGAACAUUACUGACGCUCAGAUGCGAAAGCGUGGGGAGCAAACAGGAUUAGAUACCCUCGUAGUC